rnacentral:rRNA from 1 species
UCUCUUACCCAUGUCUUUUGAGUACCUUACGUUUCCUCGGUGGGUUCGCCCACCGAUUGGACAAAUUUAAACCCUUUGCAGUUGAAAUCAGCGUCUGAAAAAACUUAAUAGUUACAACUUUCAACAACGGAUCUCUUGGUUCUGGCAUCGAUGAAGAACGCAGCGAAAUGCGAUAAGUAGUGUGAAUUGCAGAAUUCAGUGAAUCAUCGAAUCUUUGAACGCACAUUGCGCCCCUUGGUAUUCCAUGGGGCAUGCCUGUUCGAGCGUCAUUUGUACCUUCAAGCUCUGCUUGGUGUUGGGUGUUUGUCUCCUGUAGACUCGCCUCAAAACAAUUGGCAGCCGGCGUAUUGAUUUCGGAGCGCAGUACAUCUCGCGCUUUGCACUCAUAACGACGACAUCCAAAAGUACAUUUUUACACUCUUGACCUCGGAUCAGGUAGGGAUACCCGCUGAACUUAAGCAUAUCAAUAAG